rnacentral:rRNA from 1 species
AUUGAACGCUGGCGGCAGGCCUAACACAUGCAAGUCGAGCGAGCGGCGGACGGGUGAGUAAUGUAUGGGGAACUGCCCGAUGGAGGGGGAUAACUACUGGAAACGGUGGCUAAUACCGCAUACUAUCGGAUGAACCCAUAUGGGAUUAGCUAGUAGGUGGGGUAAUGGCUCACCUAGGCGACGAUCUCUAGCUGGUCUGAGAGGAUGAGCAGCCACACUGGGACUGAGACACGGUCCAGACUCCUACGUGAGGCAGCAGUGGGGAAUAUUGCACAAUGGGCGCAAGCCUGAUGCAGCCAUGCCGCGUGUAUGAAGAAGGCCUUAGGGUUGUAAAGUACUUUCAGCGGGGAGGUGUUACUCGCAGAAGAAGCACCGGCUAACUCCGUGCCAGCAGCCGCGGUAAUUC